rnacentral:rRNA from 1 species
UACGUAGGGCGCAAGCGUUGUCCGGAAUUAUUGGGCGUAAAGAGCUCGUAGGCGGCUUGUCACGUCGAUUGUGAAAGCCCGAGGCUUAACCUCGGGUCUGCAGUCGAUACGGGCUAGCUAGAGUGUGGUAGGGGAGAUCGGAAUUCCUGGUGUAGCGGUGAAAUGCGCAGAUAUCAGGAGGAACACCGGUGGCGAAGGCGGGUCUCUGGGCCGUAACUGACGCUCAUGCACGAAAGCGUGGGGAGCAAACAGG